rnacentral:rRNA from 1 species
CCUACGGGAGGCUGCAGUGAGGAAUAUUGGUCAAUGGGCGCGAGCCUGAACCAGCCAAGUAGCGUGAAGGAUGACUGCCCUACGGGUUGUAAACUUCUUUUAUAAAGGAAUAAAGUGAGGCACGUGUGCCUUUUUGUAUGUACUUUAUGAAUAAGGAUCGGCUAACUCCGUGCCAGCCGCCGCGGUAAUACGGAGGAUCCGAGCGUUAUCCGGAAUUAUUGGGUUUAAAGGGAACGUAGAUGGGGUGUUAAGUCAGUUGUGAAAGUUGGCGGGUCAACCGUAAAAUUGCAAUUGAUACUGGCAGUCUUGAGUACAGUUGAGGUAGGCGGAAUUCGUGGUGGAGCGGUGAAAGGCUUAGAUAUCACGAAGAACUCCGAUUGCGAAGGCAGCUUACUAAACUGCCACUGACAUUGAUGCUCGAAAGUGUGGGUAUCAAACAGGAUUAGAUAAGUAGUC